UACGUAGGGUGCAAGCGUUGUCCGGAAUUAUUGGGCGUAAAGAGCUCGUAGGCGGUUCGUCGCGUCGGCUGUGAAAACCCGAGGCUCAACCUCGGGCCUGCAGUCGAUACGGGCGGACUGGAGUUCGGCAGGGGAGACUGGAAUUCCUGGUGUAGCGGUGAAAUGCGCAGAUAUCAGGAGGAACACCGGUGGCGAAGGCGGGUCUCUGGGCAUUCCCUGACGCUGAGGCGCGAAAGCGUGGGGAGCAAACGGG
rnacentral:rRNA from 1 species